rnacentral:rRNA from 1 species
GAUGAACGCUGGCGGCGUGCCUAAUACAUGCAAGUCGAGCGAACAGACGAGGAGCUUGCUCCUCUGACGUUAGCGGCGGACGGGUGAGUAACACGUGGAUAACCUACCUAUAAGACUGGGAUAACUUCGGGAAACCGGAGCUAAUACCGGAUAAUAUAUUGAACCGCAUGGUUCAAUAGUGAAAGACGGUUUUGCUGUCACUUAUAGAUGGAUCCGCGCCGCAUUAGCUAGUUGGUAAUGUAACGGCUUACCAAGGCGACGAUGCGUAGCCGACCUGAGAGGGUGAUCGGCCACACUGGAACUGAGACACGGUCCAGACUCCUACGGGAGGCAGCAGUAGGGAAUCUUCCGCAAUGGGCGAAAGCUUGACGGAGCAACGCCGCGUGAGUGAUGAAGGUCUUCGGAUCGUAAAACUCUGUUAUUAGGGAAGAACAAAUGUGUAAGUAACUAUGCACGUCUUGACGGUACCUAAUCAGAAAGCCACGGCUAACUACGUG